rnacentral:sRNA from 1 species
UAUCUCUUUCAGGAAUGUUAAGAUCCUGAAAUCGGAGGGUGUUUUGUUUUUAUUUCAUAUACUAGGACAAAUGUGUACAAGUUCUUCUUCUUCCCUAGUGCCGUUAGAAAGUGGAAUGAGUUGCUCGAAUCUGUCAGGAAAACCAAUGACAGCAGAGUUCAAGCCGCUGGUGAACACGCAUGCCCAGAUUGGCACAUGACGUCAUUGAAGUAACGUCUGUAACUUGUAAGAAAAUCUUUACGUUUUUUGUAGAAGAGGUAUCCAAGUGCGGCUUCUUUGUUGGCAACGACAUUUCUAGUAGCAUUUGGGAUUGUAUUAGUUUUAUUUUUAAUGUCAAAAGAUUGCAAUGUAUACAGAUUUUAGGUCAGUGUAUCAAACUUGGGCCUAGUCUACUAGAUCAACGCCUUCCCCCCUAUCCCGUCUAUUGUAUCUACCCCACUGCUACCUGCUCUAUAGUGACGCCGCCUACUAUGUUCGUACCUGCGUCAAGAAUGUGUUCAUGUGUGGGUAUGUGUGUAACUAUUUACGAUAAGAUUCCAACCUGACAAAAAAAAACACUGAGUGUUCCUCCUAAACUUGAGAUCAUAUCAGGGUUUGAAAUGCGUAGUGGACCAUGUCGUUGACUACAAGCAUGCAGGCCAAGGUUCGCAAUAAUAAUCCAAUCUUCUUAUUAUAGAGGCCACAUAGGCCUGGCCCCUGAUGUAAUCAUGCAUGGACAAUCACAGGUGACUUACUAUCUGUAGCCAAUGUACAAUUUGUCUCUUUAUGUUUCCUGUCCCGUCAAUGAUUGUUUGAGCUUAAAAGAAGACUGGGAAUGACGGCAUGUAAAGAGCUUCAGCAGUGACGUCUUCUGUAAAAUGAGUUAGAAAAGAAACGCACUUUCAACAUGCCAGCCAGGACGAAUGUUCUUUUUUGUUUAGCAGUCUGUGUGUUUUGGACACAAAAAUCUCCCCUAACACACGCCGAGACCGCGUGGGAGCCCUGCGGUGCCGGAAAUUGCCGAAAGGGGCAAUACCUCAAUGCAACUGCAGCGAAUUGUCUCCUAUGCCCUGAAAACUCUUUUAUGGAUAUUGAGAACCACAACUGCACGACAUGCAAACCUUGCACACUAGCGGAUCAAGACAGUCAUGAAAAAGUGUUGAGUCAUUGCUCCUCCACGACAGACGCUGUCAUUCGCUGCAUUGAUGGUUACUUCAGGUCCACGUCAGAAGGCGAGGAACAAUUAGAAUGCCUUCAAUGCGGCGAGUGUGAUCCCAACGAAGUGGUCAAAGACGAAUGUUCCGACUUCCGCGACGUAGUAUGCAUGACGGCUACUACCCCGGCGACACAUUCCAGCGACAGGUAUUUGAUUCCCUCUAACCCAGCGACGCAUUCCAGCGAGGAGUAUAUGACUCCAUUAUCCACCCCAGCGACACAUUCCAGCGAAGAGUACUUUGACAAAGGCGUGCUUAUAGCAUGCAUGUUCUUGCUAGCUAUGAUCAUUAUCGGCAUUAUAAUAUACAUCAAACGAACUCCCCAUUUCUGUGACAUGCUUAGGGAAUGCUGGCGAGGCCGUUGUCGUGAAAGAAAUCGACGCCAUUACGACAACGAGUUGCUUGUCGUGGAAUAACUUUUAACUAGUGUACAAUUCAAUGAAGGAUUUAUGCAGCAGUCCGGGAAAGGCUUUAAGCAUCGUACAUUGUAGCCAAAAGUAUUGAACUUGGGGGGAAAUUAUGUCUUAGCGUCCCUAUUACAUAACAUUGUACGUUGUAUUAACA